rnacentral:rRNA from 1 species
UACAGAGGUCUCAAGCGUUGUUCGGAUUCAUUGGGCGUAAAGGGUGUGUAGGCGGCGCGCUAAGUCGGGUGUGAAAUUUCGGAGCUUAACUCCGAAACUGCAUUCGAUACUGGCGUGCUUGAGGACUGGAGAGGAGACUGGAAUUCAUGGUGUAGCAGUGAAAUGCGUAGAGAUCAUGAGGAAGACCAGUGGCGAAGGCGGGUCUCUGGACAGUUCCUGACACUGAGGCACGAAGGCCAGGGGAGCAAACGGG